AGGAAUAUUGGUCAAUGGGCGAGAGCCUGAACCAGCCAAGUAGCGUGAAGGAUGACGGCCCUACGGGUUGUAAACUUCUUUUGUGCGGGAAUAAAGGAGCCUACGUGUAGGCUUUUGCAUGUACCGUAACGAAUAAGCAUCGGCUAACUCCGUGCCAGCAGCCGCGGUAAUACGGAGGAUGCGAGCGUUAUCCGGAUUUAUUGGGUUUAAAGGGAGCGCAAACGGGUCGUUAAGUCAGCUGUGAAAGUUUGGGGCUCAACCUUGAAAUUGCAGUUGAUACUGGCGUCCUUGAGUGCGGUUGAGGUGUGCGGAAUUCGUGGUGUACCGGUGAAAUGCUUAAAUAUCACGAAAAACUCCAAUUGCAAAGGCAGCACACUAAGCCGUAACUGACGUUCAUGCUCGAAAGUGUGGGUAUCAAACAGGAUUAGAUACCCUGGUAGUCCACACGGUAAACGAUGGAUACUCGCUGUUGGCGAUAUACGGUCAGCGGCUUAGCGAAAGCGUUAAGUAUCCCACCUGGGGAGUACGCCGGCAACGGUGAAACUCAAAGGAAUUGACGGGGGCCCGCACAAGCGGAGGAACAUGUGGUUUAAUUCGAUGAUACGCGAGGAACCUUACCCGGGCUUAAAUUGCAAAGGAAUUGCGUGGAAACAUGCAAGUCUUCGGACCUUUGUGAAGGUGCUGCAUGGUUGUCGUCAGCUCGUGCCGUGAGGUGUCGGCUUAAGUGCCAUAACGAGCGCAACCCUCGCCGCCAGUUACUAACAGUUAAAGCUGAGGACUCUGGCGGGACUGCCAUCGUAAGAUGUGAGGAAGGUGGGGAUGACGUCAAAUCAGCACGGCCCUUACGUCCGGGGCUACACACGUGUUACAAUGGGCGGUACAGAAGGCAGCUACCUGGCGACAGGAUGCCAAUCCCUAAAGCCGCUCUCAGUUCGGACUGGAGUCUGCAACCCGACUCCACGAAGCUGGAUUCGCUAGUAAUCGCGCAUCAGCCACGGCGCGGUGAAUACGUUCCCG
rnacentral:rRNA from 1 species